rnacentral:rRNA from 1 species
GACAAGCUUGCUGGGCAAUACUAUUUGGAUAGAGCUCAGUAUUUGGUGCAAAGGCAAGGUUGGUUAGGAAAAGAAGCUUGGAUUGUUGUAGUUGAUGAGUGGUGCAGUGAAGAGUGGAUUGCAAAAUCAAAGAAAUACCGUGCCAAUCGUUGCAGCUCAAAGUUCAAGCCUCACAAGGGUGGUUCCAACUCGAUGACUACUAUAAGUCAAAAAAUGUCCGAACAAACCGGCGAAGAUGUUAACCAGAUUCAGGCUUGGGUGCAUACACAUAGAGGAUUGGACAAGAGCAAACCUUUAAUUCUCAACACACCAGAAGCAACUAAAUGUUUGGCACUUUACACAGAAAAGGCUAAAGAGUUAAAUGGAUAG